UCGGCAUUAUAUACCAACAAAAAAAUUCCCAACAUUCUGAUAAAUUUAGUAGAAUACAUGUAAAUGAAAUUGUUCUUGUCAAAGUACAACUUUCCUUAAAAAAUUUUUACAAUGUUAAAUAGGUUUUUACACUAUCCCGCAUACAUAUAAGUUGAAUGUUCAUAAUACUUAUUUUAUUCGUUUUGAUAAAUCAUUAAAUCUUUUUAUAUACGAUCAUUCUCAAAGUACUUCAAUCCAACAACCUGUUAACUUCAGCUGCAAGAGUUGUGCACACAUUUAUACAUACAGAAAUACUAAAUGCGAAAAUGGCUCCGAUUUGUUAGACUGUUCCAAUCAAGUCGGCAAAGACAACGGAAAAGCGUAAUAGAAAUUAAUCGGUUACAUUGAUGUACAUCAAGGCAUCUUUGACACGUUCCCUUACAUCAGGAGAUGAGUGAUUUUGUAGCAUCUGCAAACAUUCUCCAAAUCCGAGAUUUUGUAAGAUACUUGCUCUUUCCUUAUCUUCCUGGCUUGGAGAUGUACAUUGUUUGGGCCAUAGAAUGUUAAUACAGAGCCAAAUUCCGGCCAACAGAAUUUCGGAGUUUGGUUCAUAAGUGUCCUCUUCAUAAAUAUCGAAAGGAGGACGCAUUUCCCUAUCAAAAUCAUCUUCUUGCAAAUCCAUUUCACUGUCACUUUCCGGAGAUGACACAUUUGUGGACAUUUGCUCGGGCUUGAGACGUUGUGCUUCUUGUAGCAUAAUUUCCUUCACCAAUAGUAGUAGUUUGGUUUGCCUUAGGAUAGAAUCCCUAAGCUCACCAUCGCUGGCAGCGAUGUGCACCAAAAUGUAAAUACUGGGUUCAAUUAGGAUAGGAUUUUUACUUUCUAAUUUUUCAAGCAAAAUUUUUGCUAACAACUCCAUAGGAACCAUUUUCAAAAGAAAAUCCACGCUUUCUUCUUUCUGACAUGUAAAAUUUCGCAGCACUUGCAACAUUUGCUCUUGGACCCCCAGAUCUUCGUCAUUGCAAAGUUCCACAAGCUUUGAAGCACCGAUCUUUUUUAAAGGUUCAAGCUGGAUCGUCUCAUCAUCACCAAAUACAACAUGCCGCAGAACCCACACGGUCUUCUUUCUUAGACUGCUAUCUUUCGUACUAAUAUUUGAUAUCAAAGUAUCAAUGAAAUUUGUAGUAAGGAAUUUCUCUCUCAAAGGAGAAAACUUAAGUACCAAGUUACAAAUGGCAGACGUAGCAGUCGAUUUGACUCUAGUAUCCGGGUCAGAAAGCAACUUUAUUAAUGGUUCGCUCACGUCUGCAUCGGCAAGGCCCGUACGUAAAAUGUAAACGCUUCUCGAGAGACUUAAUAAGCAUUCACAAGCAGCCUUUUUCACGCUGUUAGAAUUGAUUUUCAAAGCAUUAAUG